rnacentral:misc_RNA from 1 species
GAUGAAGAACGUAGCGAAAUGCGAUAAGUAAUGUGAAUUGCAGAAUUCAGUGAAUCAUCGAAUCUUUGAACGCACAUUGCGCCCCCUGGUAUUCCGGGGGGCAUGCCUGUCCGAGCGUCAUUACAACCCUCAAGCUCAGCUUGGUAUUGGGCCCCGCCGCUCCGGCGGGCCCUAAAGUCAGUGGCGGUGCCAUCCGGCUCCGAGCGUAGUAAUUCUUCUCGCUCUGGAGGUCCGGUCGUGUGCUCGCCAGCAACCCCCAAUUUUUUUCAGGUUGACCUCGGAUCAGGUAGGGAUACCCGCUGAACUUAAGCAUAUCAAUAAGCGGAGGA